GAAAUAGCUCAGUUGGUAGAGCAGGAGACUCUUAAACUCAGGGUUGGGGGUUCGAGCCCCAGGUUGGGCA
rnacentral:tRNA from 1 species